rnacentral:lncRNA from 1 species
AAUAGCUGGGCUUACAUCCGACUCCAAACAAAGGCAAACAAGGAAACGGAAUGCCAAUAGAUGGGCUUACAUCCGACUCCAAACAAAAAAACAAUCGCUAACCAGCGAACGCCAAAGGUUCUCCAACUGACAAACUAAAAGGGAGUCUGGAACUCGGGCCUAAUAGCUGUCACACAAACACCAAGAAGACGCUGAGACGUCAAAAGAAACAAAGAGAUUGAACACACAGACUAAAAGGGAGUCGGGAAC